UGGGGAAUAUUGCACAAUGGGCGAAAGCCUGAUGCAGCAACGCCGCGUGAAGGAAGAAGGCCCUCGGGUUGUAAACUUCUUUUUUAUGGAAAGAUCAUGACGGUACCAUAAGAAUAAGCUCCGGCUAACUACGUGCCAGCAGCCGCGGUAAUACGUAGGGAGCGAGCGUUAUCCGGAAUUACUGGGUGUAAAGGGCGCGUAGGCGGGACUGUAAGUCCGAUGUGAAAUAUCCCGGCUCAACUGGGAGGCUGCAUUGGAAACUAUAGUUCUUGAGUGAUGGAGAGGCAGGCGGAAUUCCGUGUGUAGCGGUGGAAUGCAUAGAUAUACGGAGGAACACCAGUGGCGAAGGCGGCCUGCUGGACAUUAACUGACGCUGAGGCGCGAAAGCGUGGGGAGCAAACA
rnacentral:rRNA from 1 species